rnacentral:rRNA from 1 species
UACAGAGGGUGCGAGCGUUAAUCGGAAUUACUGGGCGUAAAGCGCGCGUAGGCGGCUUUGCAAGUCGAGUGUGAAAUCCCCAGGCUUAACCUGGGAACUGCAUUCGAGACUGCAUAGCUAGAGUAUGGGAGAGGGAAGUGGAAUUUCAGGUGUAGCGGUGAAAUGCGUAGAUAUCUGAAGGAACAUCAGUGGCGAAGGCGGGUCUCUGGGCCGAUACUGACGCUGAGGAGCGAAAGCGUGGGGAGCGAACAGG